AGCAGCCGCGGUAAUUCCAGCUCCAAUAGCGUAUAUUAAAGUUGUUGCAGUUAAAAAGCUCGUAGUUGAAUUUCGGGAUUGACACAUCGGUCGUGCCUUAAGGGGUGUGAACUGGUGUAGUCAAUUUCUCACCUUCUGGAGAACCGCGGUGUCCUUAAUUGGGUGCCGCGAGGAACCAGGACCUUUACUUUGAAAAAAUUAGAGUGUUUAAAGCAGGCAUUUUUGCUUGAAUACAUUAGCAUGGAAUAAUAAAUAGGACGGCAUGAUUCUAUUUUGUUGGUUUCUAGGAUCACCGUAAUGAUUAAUAGGGAUAGUUGGGGGCAUUAGUAUUCAAUUGUCAGAGGUGAAAUUCUUGGAUUUAUUGAAGACUAACACUGCGAAAGCAUUUGCCAAGGAUGUUUUCAUUAAUCAAGAACGAAGUUAGGGAUCGAAGACGAUCAGAUACCGUCGUAGUCUUAACCAUAAACCUNUAGCCGACUAGGAAUCAGACGAUGUUAAUUUUUUAANGUACUUCGUUUUA
rnacentral:rRNA from 1 species